UACGGGGGGGGCAAGCGUUGUUCGGAAUUACUGGGCGUAAAGGGUUCGUAGGUGGCUUUCUAAGUCAGACGUGAAAUCCCUCAGCUUAACUGGGGAACUGCGUCUGAAACUGGCGAGCUUGAGUGCAGGAGAGGAACGCGGAAUUCCAGGUGUAGCGGUGAAAUGCGUAGAUAUCUGGAGGAACACCGGUGGCGAAGGCGGCGUUCUGGACUGUAACUGACACUGAGGAACGAAAGCCAGGGGAGCAAACGGG
rnacentral:rRNA from 1 species